UCCCUUGUGGCUCAAUUGGUAAAGAAUCUGCCUGCAAUGUAGGAGACCUAGGUUUGAUCCCUGGGUGGGGAG
rnacentral:tRNA from 1 species